CCUCUUACAUUGACACCCUGGAUAUGGACAAUCUACGUUAUGUAAGUUAUUGCUGGUACAUUCCUCAUUCCAUUAUGAGAAAAUGUUUCAGUUACGAGUUAUGAGUUGUGCAAUUACAAAUCACGAAAUAACUUAUUUAAAGACAACUCUCCCUGGUUUCAGUGCACUACAAAAUCACAAUGUAAGAUCAGGUGUGACAUCACAGUAUGAACAUUCCAGUGAGCUGCCCAAUGUUCUGAACUCAUUAGCAUAAUCAGCCAAACGAACUUUUGGGAGGCUCUCGUAGUAAAGACAACAAUUAUUUUUUUGUUGUUGAUGUUUUUGACCAUUUUUUUAUGUUUUCAGAUGAUAGAAGUUGAAAAAUACCAAAAAUGCAUUCACUCACACACACAUACACACACACACUCACUCCACACAAACACACACACACAGACACAUACACCUCCAUGCACACACACAUACAUGCGCACACACAUGCACACACACACAUAUACUCCCACGCACACACACACACACACACGCACCCACACACAUAUACACCCACGCACACACAUACACACACAAAAAUAUUAAACCGUAGUACGAAUUGAGGUGCCGUUUUCAAUCUAAAGUUAUUCUUAAAGUAAGCUAUUUCAAAAUUUAUGACUUCAACAUUAUUGCACUGUAAAUAACAACUCAAUUAUUAUUAUUAUUUGACCUUUAUUAAGCAGGAUGGAAAUAAUGACAACAUUGUUCUUUUUUUGCACUGAGGGUGUUUAUCAGCGUAUGCUUGUGCAGCUCUUGUGCACCCAAUAAUUUGCCUUAUUGAACAGCCAAUCAAAUCUGCCCCUGACAUGUGCCCUCCUACUGUUCAGUGAAUCUCUGUAAAUAAUCACUUCAAGUCCUCCUCUUAUCUGUACAGUUUGAGUUUUACAGGGCAGAGGACAAGCAGGGUCUCAGGCAGAGGAGAGUCUCCAGAAGAGGAGAGUUCAGAUACAGUGAUGCCGCCACUCUGUGCCGUUCUUGUGCUUUUCAUCAAAGUCUAUGGUCUGCUUGGGAAUAUAUUUCAGCCUGACGCGCUGGUGAGAGCUAGGAUCGGAGACGCUGUGACUCUCCCAUGUUUCUACACUGCACAAGAUCGGCUUGAUAUCAGCUGGUUUAAGCAGCCUCUUGGACAAAAGCCUCGGCUUAUAGCAGUACAAAUAAACUAUCGAAUACAUGCUGUAUUUUUCCAUGAGUUUAAAAACAGCACACGCUUCACUGCUAAAGCAGCGGAGGGGAGCUUUAACCUGACUAUGUCAGGAGUAGAGCCCUCUGAUUCAGCCACAUACUACUGCAGUAUUACGCUUUUCAAAGAGAUCAGCUUUGGAAAUGGAACUACUUUAAUGGUGACGGGUUCAGAGUCACAUGGCAGGACAGUAGUACUGCAGCAGCCCGAGUCUGAGUCAAUGCAGUCAGGAGACUCUGCGACUCUGCAGUGUACAGUACGCACUGAGACCUG